UACGAAGGGGGCUAGCGUUGCUCGGAAUUACUGGGCGUAAAGCGCACGUAGGCGGUUUCUUAAGUCGGUGGUGAAAUCCUGGAGCUCAACUCCAGAACUGCCUUCGAUACUGGGAAACUUGAGUUCGGGAGAGGUGAGUGGAACUGCGAGUGUAGAGGUGAAAUUCGUAGAUAUUCGCAAGAACACCAGUGGCGAAGGCGGCUCACUGGCCCGAUACUGACGCUGAGGUGCGAAAGCGUGGGGAGCAAACAGG
rnacentral:rRNA from 1 species